rnacentral:lncRNA from 1 species
GAGAGAACGGAAUCAAGCGAAUGAGAGCGCGUGAGUGUGUGUGUGGAGAGAACGGAAUCAAGCGAAUGAGAGCGCGUGAGUGUGUGUGUGGAGAGAGAACGGAAUCAAGCGAAUGAGAGCGCGUGAGUGUGUGUGUGGAGAGAGANCGGAAUCAGGCGAAUGAGAGCGCAUGAGUGUGUGUGGAGAGAGAACGGAAUCAAGUGAAUGAGAGCGCGUGAGUGUGUGUGGAGAGAGAGAACAGAGUCAAGCGAAUGAGAGCGCAUGAGUGUGUGUGGAGAGAGAGAACGGAAUCAAGCGAAUGAGAGCGCGUGAGUGUGUGUGUGGAGAGAGAACGGAAUCAGGCGAAUGAGAGCGCGUGAGUGUGUGUGUGGAGAGAGAGAACAGAGUCAAGCGAAUGAGAGCGCGUGAGUGUGUAUAGAGAGAACGGAAUCAAGCGAAUGAGAGCGCGUGAGUGUGUGUGUGGAGAGAGAAC